rnacentral:tRNA from 1 species
GAGGGUAUAGCUCAGUGGUAGAGUGUGUGCUUAGCACACACAAAGUCCUGGGUUCAAUUCUCAGUACUUCCC